UAGUUUCACAAUAUAAAAACACUUCAAUAUUAAAAAAAAUAAAUAUUUCAAGCUGGAGAUAAUCUCCUGGAAUAUUAAUAGUUUCACAAUAUAAAAACAUUUCAAUAUUAAAAAAAUAAAUCUUUCAAGCUGGAGAUAAUCUCCUGGAAAUGAUUAUAUAAAUAACUCACUUCAUUUCCUAUUUUAUUUAAAUGGCACAUUGAAUAUUUACAUUAUUUUUGCGUGGAGAUUAUUUUUAGGAUUCCGCCAUAACUGGCAUUAAAAUUUUAUAAGGAUUCAAAAUGCCGUUUGGAUCCAUCAGUUUCUUCAAAUCAUACAUUAUAGCGAUCUCGGACGGGGUUUUGCUCAUAUGAAGAUAUUUAGUCUUUUUGAAACCUAUACCGUGUUCGGCGCUGAUACUGCCAUGACAUUGUGACACAAAUUCGAAGAUAAACGGUUCCAAUUGCGCAGCCACAUCCGCAUAAAACUCUGAUAUCAUUAUAUGUAUAUUUAUAUAGAUACCUAAAUGGCCGUAACCACUGAUCCUAAUGACACGAGGAUCGCAUAUUCGCUCUCGAAGAACUUCAACGACUUUGUAAAACGAUGUGAAAGGUACCAUCUUCGAUGAUGUCAUUGGCCAUUGCCUUCUCCACGAAAGAAGAAAGUUUCUCUUCAUCAUGGGCCAAAUUACUACCGGAAGUUUCGAUAAGCAUGUAGAAGUCGUGACCGUUCUCACGGCUUGUCAAAGGAUUUUUCAUGCCCAAAUUAUUAAUGGAGACAUCGAUAGAUAGUCGAUCCAUCAUUUCGCAAGAGGACAGAAUCUCACCUAGCUCACGCUUCGCCAGAUGCGGAACUUUUGGAGAUUGUUUUACCAGCCAAUUCAUUCGUUUCCAAGAUCUUAUUCAUCAAAGUCAUGGAAAUCACGAUCUCAUCGAAAACCGGAUUGCUUCCUCCCACGAGGCCUGUAUUUCCGCUCUGUGGAACAACCGCUAAUCUUUUGUCGUUGCAAUAUUUUAAUAUAGCUGACACUUCUUCUGUUGAUUUUGGCUUUAGCACACAUCGACUGGCACCUUGUAUUAAAAUAUUAAGUAACUUUUAAAAAUUAUAUAUAUUAAUAAUUAAGUGUAGAAAAAACAAGAUUAUAUGUAUAAUAAGAGAAGACUCAAGAUUUUAUAUACAUUCACAUAUGUAUAU